GACUCCUACGGGAGGCAGCAGUGGGGAAUCUUGCGCUAAUGCGGGAAACCGUGACGCAGCGACGCCGCGUGAGGGAAGAAGGCCUUCGGGUUGUAAACCUCUUUCAGGAGGGACGAAGCCACUCGGGUUAAUAGCCCAGAGGGUGACGGUACCUCCAGAAGAAGCCCCGGCUAACUACGUGCCAGCAGCCGCGGUAAUACGUAGGGGGCAAGCGUUGUCCGGAUUUAUUGGGCGUAAAGAGCGUGUAGGCGGCUAGAUAGGUCCGUUGUGAAAACUCGAGGCUCAACCUCGAGACGUCGAUGGAAACCAUCUGGCUAGAGUCCGGAAGAGGAGAGUGGAAUUCCUGGUGUAGCGGUGAAAUGCGCAGAUAUCAGGAAGAACACCCGUGGCGAAGGCGGCUCUCUGGUACGUGACUGACGCUGAGACGCGAAAGCGUGGGGAGCAAACAGGAUUAGAUACCCUGGUAGUCCACGCCGUAAACGAUGGGUGCUAGGUGUGGGGGGUGUCAACUCCCUCCGUGCCGAAGCUAACGCAUUAAGCACCCCGCCUGGGGAGUACGGCCGCAAGGCUAAAACUCAAAGGAAUUGACGGGG
rnacentral:rRNA from 1 species